CCUCCUGCAUAUUUUCAAGUUCCUGAGCGUCAAACCCGACCCAAUCACUCUGAGCUACACCUCGUCUCUGCUGCUCAUCCCUAAUUUUCUUAACAAGUGCUGCCUCUUCUGACUGCCUCAUUAGUGUCUCAGACCAUCGUUCCCCUGGUCUCGCCAUGCUCCUCCCACUUGGAUCUUGGAACUUCCCCAAAUACUCAUGGUGCAAAUAUGGCUCUCGUUCCCUCAUUGCGUCCUCUGAGAAGUACUGUCCAUCACUUAAUAAUUUGUCCAGAUAAGCUCGCCGUCUGUUCUUAAUCCUCCUCUUCUUCUCCCUCUUCUUCCUCCUCUUUUUCUUCUUCCUCUUCUUCUUCCUCUUUCUUCUCCUCUUCUUCUUCUUCCUCUUCUUUCUCCUCUUCUUCUUCCUCUUCUUCUUCUUCCUCCUCCUCUUCUUCCUCCUCUUUUUCUUCCUCCUCCCCUUCCUCUUCCUCCUCCUCCUCUUCCUCCUCUCUUU
rnacentral:lncRNA from 1 species